CGGCGGACGGGUGAGUAACGCGUGGGUAACCUGCCUCAUACAGGGGGAUAACAGUUAGAAAUGACUGCUAAUACCGCAUAAGCGCACAGGGCUGCAUGGCCCGGUGUGAAAAACUCCGGUGGUAUGAGAUGGACCCGCGUCUGAUUAGCUGGUUGGAGGGGUAACGGCCCACCAAGGCGACGAUCAGUAGCCGACCUGAGAGGGUGACCGGCCACAUUGGGACUGAGACACGGCCCAA
rnacentral:rRNA from 1 species